rnacentral:rRNA from 1 species
UACGAAGGGGGCUAGCGUUGCUCGGAAUCACUGGGCGUAAAGCGCACGUAGGCGGAUUCUUAAGUCAGGGGUGAAAUCCUGGAGCUCAACUCCAGAACUGCCUUUGAUACUGGGAAUCUCGAGUCCGGGAGAGGUGAGUGGAACUGCGAGUGUAGAGGUGAAAUUCGUAGAUAUUCGCAAGAACACCAGUGGCGAAGGCGGCUCACUGGCCCGGUACUGACGCUGAGGUGCGAAAGCGUGGGGAGCAAACAGG